rnacentral:rRNA from 1 species
CCUACGGGGAGCAGCAGUGGGGAAUAUUGGACAAUGGGGGGAACCCUGAUCCAGCCAUGCCGCGUGUGUGAAGAAGGCCAUCGGGUUGUAAAGCACUUUCAGUGAGGAAGAACACCUGGUGGUUAAUACCCAUCAGGAAAGACAUCACUCACAGAAGAAGCACCGGCUAACUCCGUGCCAGCAGCCGCGGUAAUACGGAGGGUGCGAGCGUUAAUCGGAAUUACUGGGCGUAAAGCGCGCGUAGGUGGCUUGAUAAGCCGGUUGUGAAAGCCCCGGGCUCAACCUGGGAACGGCAUCCGGAACUGUCAAGCUAGAGUGCAGGAGAGGAAGGUAGAAUUCCCGGUGUAGCGGUGAAAUGCGUAGAGAUCGGGAGGAAUACCAGUGGCGAAGGCGGCCUUCUGGACUGACACUGACACUGAGGUGCGAAAGCGUGGGUAGCAAACAGGAUUAGAUACCCGAGUAGUC